UAAUGGGCAUGCCUGUCCGAGCGUCAUUUCAACCACUCAGGCCAACAGAGCCUGGCGUUGGGGUAUCUACAGUUGAUUGUAUGCCCUGAAAGAUAGUGGCGGUGUCCGCUAGCAUUCCGGGCGCAGUACAGUUUCUCCUCGCCCAGGGACGUUUUAGGGGCUGCCGGCCGUAAAACAGCCUAAAGCUUAGAAGGUUGACCUCGGAUCAGGUAGGACUACCCGCUGAACUUAAGCAUAUCAAUAAGCGGAGGAAAAGAAACCAACAGGGAUUGCCCUAGUAACGGCGAGUGAAGCGGCAACAGCUCAAAUUUGAAAUCUGGCCUCGGGCCCGAGUUGUAAUUUGUAGAGGAUGCUUUGGGGGUUGGCGCCUCCAGAGUUCCCUGGAAUGGGACGCCAUAGAGGGUGAGAGCCCCGUACGGUGGGAUGCCUAGCCUCUGUAAAGCUCCUUCGACGAGUCGAGUAGUUUGGGAAUGCUGCUCAAAAUGGGAGGUAAAUUUCUUCUAAAGCUAAAUACCGGCCAGAGACCGAUAGCGCACAAGUAGAGUGAUCGAAAGAUGAAAAGCACUUUGAAAAGAGGGUCAAAAAGUACGUGAAAUUGUUGAAAGGGAAGCGCUUGCGACCAGACUUGUGCCCAGUGAAUCAUCCGGCGUUUUCGCCGGUGCGCUUCACUGGGUUCAGGCCAGCAUCGGUUCUCUCAGGGCGUUAAAAACAGCGGGAAUGUGGCUCUUCAGGGAGUGUUAUAGCCCGCUGUAAAAUAUCCUUGGGGGGAUCGAGGACCGCGCUUCGGCACGGA
rnacentral:rRNA from 1 species